CUGCUGGCUCUGUUUUUGAUGUCUCCAUAGAGCUUAGGAUGUGCCUCCUCCUAUCUGUACCCAGAGACUGCUAAGGUAAGCACGUCUCCCAGCAAGUUCCUGCACAGACAAGAGAGUUUUCCAAUUUCAGCAGGAAGGACAAAAGCUGCAACUGGAAUCCCCUCAGGAUCUGCUGUGGGAUGGAAGCUGAAGAGCCAAUCUUUUGGGUCCAGGCCAGUACAUGUCUUCCAGCAGAUCUCAGCACUGACAGGAUAGUUCCCCAACUAUGGCAAGAUGGGCUGGAGCUUAGAGCAGAUCCCAUCUAGACCUGCUGUGGGACAAAGGAUGGCAUGCCUAUCCGGGAGGCUCAGACUGCUGGCCUGUGAGAUAUGUAUGGGUCUCCCUAUCCCCUAGAAACUGCUCACUGAAAGAACUUGGAGAAAAAUUAUUAAUGCACUUGAUGGAGAUCAACUCAGAAAAAAGAAACUGUGAGUCAUGUCUUGGGCGAGUUGAAAAGAUGUUAAUUUUCUUGCUGCCAUUUCAUUGCUUCCCUCUGCAAUAAUUCUGAAUGUGAUCCAUGCAUUGGAUGUGUCCUCCAGACACAAAUCAAGUUUCAAAGGCACGUAUGGGGUACCAGUUCUCCCAACUUCCCAAGCAAUGAGAGGUGCUGUUACUAGGGAAGACAGCCUUGUCCAAGGAGUGCUGGAACCAGACAAGGGCUUGGAGACCCAGGACUUCAAAGAGAGGUUGUCAACCAAGACAGGAGGAUACAGAGGUCUUUCACAAAAGAUAUUCACCGAUCAGCUUAGGUUGUCCCUGGUUGAAAGAGUUACAGUAAGAAUGCCAGACCAAUAAGACAAUCCAAGCCCCAAUGGGGAAAAUUAAAGUAAAUGUAUUAAUUGCAGCAUUGUUUGUAACUGCAAAGUAUUGAAAACAGCCCACACGCCUAUACAGUGGAGAGUCAUUGAGUAAAUGGUGUUAAUAGUACAUCUAUACAACAAAGUAUUAUGCAGCUGUUCAGAGGAAUGGUGAAGAUGGCUAUAAACUGAGGAAAAAAGAAACACACAAAGGAAAAAACCAAGAGACCAUGAGAGUGAUCACCUACAGGGUGUUGUCAGGAAUGGUGUAGAAAGUAGAGAGAGAAUGGAGAUGGAUACCUGAUUCUUCUCUGAAUAUACCUUUAUGCAUAGACCUGACUCUGGAACCAUGUUGGAAGUUUCACAUACCCAAACAAAUAAUUAAGUGAAUACAUUCCAUGGAUCAGGGGAAAAUUUAUAAUUGAGCACAAACUGUUUAUAUGUUUUUAAAAACGAAAACAAACAGAAGGUUGGAGACAGAGAAAGGCAGCCAAAUAGAAGCCUCCAUGGAUCAUCCCCCCUAUAGGAACACCAAAUAUAACAACUACUUACACAAAAAGAAUACCUUCAUAAAAAACAGAAAAUCAGGUGAGUAAUCUCAAUACCUGGAUCUAACUUCAUAUCGCUGAAAGAGACACUGUAGAGGAUAUGAAAGAGUCUUGAAUUGCUGACGCCAACCCCCUCCUCAUCCCCCGGCAGAGGCUGCAUGGCACAGAGAGAAAAUACGUGCA
rnacentral:lncRNA from 10 species